ACGGAAGGCAGCAGUGGGGAAUAUUGCACAAUGGGGGAAACCCUGAUGCAGCGACGCCGCGUGAGUGAAGAAGUUAUUCGUAAUGUAAAGCUCUAUCAGCAGGGAAGAAAAUGACGGUACCUGACUAAGAAGCCCCGGCUAACUACGUGCCAGCAGCCGCGGUAAUACGUAGGGGGCAAGCGUUAUCCGGAUUUACUGGGUGUAAAGGGAGCGUAGACGGUCUAGCAAGUCUGAUGUGAAAGGCAGGGGCUCAACUCCUGGACUGCAUUGGAAACUGUUAGUCUUGAGUGUCGGGGAGGUAAGCGGAAUUCCUAGUGUAGCGGUGAAAUGCGUAGAUAUUAGGAGGAACACCAGUGGCGAAGGCGGCUUACUGGACGAUAACUGACGUUGAGGCUCGAAAGCGUGGGGAGCAAACAGGAUUAGAUACCCUGGUA
rnacentral:rRNA from 1 species